rnacentral:rRNA from 1 species
CAGUGUACCCGCGGCAAGACGGAAAGACCCCGUGAACCUUUACUAUAGCUUGACACUGAACAUUGAGCCUUGAUGUGUAGGAUAGGUGGGAGGCUUUGAAGUGUGGACGCCAGUCUGCAUGGAGCCGACCUUGAAAUACCACCCUUUAAUGUUUGAUGUUCUAACGUUGACCCGUGAUCCGGGUUGCGGACAGUGUCUGGUGGGUAGUUUGACUGGGGCGGUCU